rnacentral:tRNA from 1 species
GCGGGUAUAGCUUAAUGGCAAAGCACUAGCCUUCCAAGCUAGCUAUGCGGGUUCGAUUCCCGCUACCCGCU